rnacentral:rRNA from 1 species
UGGGGAAUUUUGGACAAUGGGCGCAAGCCUGAUCCAGCAAUGCCGCGUGCAGGAAGAAGGCCUUCGGGUUGUAAACUGCUUUUGUACGGAACGAAACGGUCCGGGUUAAUACCCUGGGCUAAUGACGGUACCGUAAGAAUAAGCACCGGCUAACUACGUGCCAGCAGCCGCGGUAAUACGUAGGGUGCAAGCGUUAAUCGGAAUUACUGGGCGUAAAGCGUGCGCAGGCGGUUUUGUAAGACAGGCGUGAAAUCCCCGGGCUCAACCUGGGAAUUGCGCUUGUGACUGCAAGGCUGGAGUGCGGCAGAGGGGGAUGGAAUUCCGCGUGUAGCAGUGAAAUGCGUAGAUAUGCGGAGGAACACCGAUGGCGAAGGCAAUCCCCUGGGCCUGCACUGACGCUCAUGCACGAAAGCGUGGGGAGCAAACAGGAUUAGAUACCCUGGUAGUCCACGCCCUAAACGAUGUCAACUGGUUGUUGGGUCUCUUCUGACUCAGUAACGAAGCUAACGCGUGAAGUUGACCGCCUGGGGAGUACGGCCGCNAAGGUUG